rnacentral:rRNA from 1 species
AAGUUUUUCUGGUGCUUGCACCGGAAAAACUUAGCGGCCAAUGGGUGAGUAACACGUAAAGAACCUGCCUCAUAGACUGGGACAACUAUUGGAAACGAUAGCUAAUACCGGAUAACAGCAUUAACUGCAUGGUUGAUGUUUAAAAGUUGGUUUUGCUAACACUAUGAGAUGGCUUUGCGGUGCAUUAGCUGGUUGGUGGGGUAAAGGCCUACCAAGGCGACGAUGCAUAGCCGACCUGAGAGGGUGAUCGGCCACACUGGGACUGAGACACGGCCCAGACUCCUACGGGAGGCAGCAGUAGGGAAUCUUCGGCAAUGGACGAAAGUCUGACCGAGCAACGCCGCGUGAGUGAAGAAGGUUUUCGGAUCGUAAAACUCUGUUGUUAGAGAAGAACAAGGACGUUAGUAACUGAACGUCCCCUGACGGUAUCUAACCAGAAAGCCACGGCUAACUACGUGCCAGCAGCCGCGGUAAUACGUAGGUGGCAAGCGUUGUCCGGAUUUAUUGGGCGUAAAGCGAGCGCAGGCGGUUUCUUAAGUCUGAUGUGAAAGCCCCCGGCUCAACCGGGGAGGGUCAUUGGAAACUGGGAGACUUGAGUGCAGAAGAGGAGAGUGGAAUUCCAUGUGUAGCGGUGAAAUGCGUAGAUAUAUGGAGGAACACCAGUGGCGAAGGCGGCUCUCUGGUCUGUAACUGACGCUGA